rnacentral:rRNA from 1 species
GACAGAGGAUGCAAGCGUUAUCCGGAAUGAUUGGGCGUAAAGCGUCUGUAGGUGGCUUUUAAGUCCGCCGUCAAAUCCCAGGGCUCAACCCUGGACAGGCGGUGGAAACUACCAAGCUGGAGUGACGGUAGAGGGGGAUGGAAUUCCGCGUGUAGCAGUGAAAUGCGUAGAUAUGCGGAGGAACACCGAUGGCGAAGGCAGUCCCCUGGACCUGUACUGACGCUCAUGCACGAAAGGCGUGGGAGCAAACGAGG